UACGUAGGGCGCAAGCGUUAUCCGGAAUUAUUGGGCGUAAAGAGCUCGUAGGCGGUUUGUCGCGUCUGCCGUGAAAGUCCGGGGGCUCAACUCCGGAUCUGCGGUGGGUACGGGCAGACUAGAGUGAUGUAGGGGAGACUGGAAUUCCUGGUGUAGCGGUGAAAUGCGCAGAUAUCAGGAGGAACACCGAUGGCGAAGGCAGGUCUCUGGGCAUUAACUGACGCUGAGGAGCGAAAGCCAGGGGAGCGAACGGG
rnacentral:rRNA from 1 species